UGCCAGGAAAGAAUUAUUCAAGGGCAUCGGUAAAUCGAAGGUGAUAACCAUCUUUCGGCGCCGCACUGUACUAAACUAACUAAAGUGGGGGAUAGUGAGGGGAUAAAUUUCCUUAAGGAACUCGGCAAAAUCCCAAUGGCCCACCAGGGCAUAUAUUGGAACACGGGCCUCGACUGUUUACCAAAAACAUAGCCCUCGGCCAAUAUGAAAAUAGAAGUAUGGAGGGUGAGGCCUGCCCAAUGGUUGUAUCUAAAAGCGGUUGAUAAAAGUCGACCGUGUAAGGACAAUUGAAUGGCCGCGGUAACACUGACCGUGAUAAUGUAGCGUAAUCAAUAGCCAAUUAAUUGUUGGCCAGUAUGAAUGGCGCCACGAAGGCCCCACUGUCUUAAGGAAAUUCCCAGUGAAAUUGAAUUCGUAGUGAAGAUGCUACGUCCAAUUUGUUAGACGAAAAGACCCCGUUGAGCUUUACUGGGGCACUUACACGGCCCCGGCCUUCAAAACUGGGUUGAUAAGCCAAGGCUUACCAUACCUAGGGACCGGCCGAAUUUAAAUGGGCGGCUUAGACUAUGUGGCAGCCCCCCCCGUCGGGGCAGAUGAAACCCCACUCCCCCAUGUCAAAGGGGCUAACCCCCCCCCUUGGGGGGGACAGUGUAAGUAGGACAGUUUGGUUGGGGCGACCGCCUUUUAGAGAGUAACGAAGGUGCGCUUAAGGUGCGUAAUUAAUGACUGAAGCCUGACUGCGAGGGGGACACCCCGAGCAGACACCCCCAAGCCCGCCCUCGCCUUCGUACCAACGGAGGGAGGGCGGCGGUGGGGUGGGCCAUAGUGACCCGUUAAUUUAGAGUGGAAUAGUUAACGAUCAACGAAUAAAAGUUACCACGGGG
rnacentral:rRNA from 1 species